rnacentral:rRNA from 1 species
GCCAGCCGCCGCGGUAAUACGGAGGAUCCGAGCGUUAUCCGGAUUUAUUGGGUUUAAAGGGUGCGUAGGCGGCCCGUUAAGUCAGGGGUGAAAUACGGUGGCUCAACCAUCGCAGUGCCUUUGAUACUGACGGGCUUGAAUCCAAAUGAAGUGGGCGGAAUAAGACAAGUAGCGGUGAAAUGCAUAGAUAUGUCUUAGAACUCCGAUUGCGAAGGCAGCUCACUAAGCUGGUAUUGACGCUGAUGCACGAAAGCGUGGGGAUCGAACAGGAUUAGAUACCCUGGUAGUCCACGCCCUAAACGAUGAUAACUCGAUGUUGGCGAUAGACAGCCAGCGUCCCAGCGAAAGCGUUAAGUUAUCCACCUGGGGAGUACGCCCGCAAGGGUGAAGCUCAAAGGAAUUGACGGGGGCCCGCACAAGCGGAGGAGCAUGUGGUUUAAUUCGAUGAUACGCGAGGAACCUUACCCGGGCUUGAAAGUUAGUGGAGGAUGCAGAGACGCAUCCGUCCUUCGGGACACGAAACUAGGUGCUGCAUGGUUGUCGUCAGCUCGUGCCGUGAGGUGUUGGGUUAAGUCCCGCAACGAGCGCAACCCCUAUGUU